rnacentral:rRNA from 1 species
UACGUAGGGUGCGAGCGUUGUCCGGAAUUACUGGGCGUAAAGAGCUCGUAGGUGGUUUGUCGCGUUGUUCGUGAAAACUCACAGCUUAACUGUGGGCGUGCGGGCGAUACGGGCAGACUUGAGUACUGCAGGGGAGACUGGAAUUCCUGGUGUAGCGGUGGAAUGCGCAGAUAUCAGGAGGAACACCGGUGGCGAAGGCGGGUCUCUGGGCCGAUACUGACGCUGAGGAGCGAAAGCGUGGGGAGCGAACAGG